rnacentral:lncRNA from 1 species
AUAAUUAUGUGAAUACGUUUUUAAUGCAGACAAAACUGCUCUAUUCAGGGUAAGGAGAGCCUCCAAGGACAUUUAAUUAGUAAGGAAGUAGGCACCAGAGUUUAGGCAGGAAAGUAUAGGCUAACUCUACUGUUUUGUGAAAACACAGUCAGGCUUCCGACGAGGACUGCCCUUAUCCGUAAAACAGCUAAUCCCCUAAACCCCAAGCCUUGAAGAAAAAGAUAAAUACCAUCUGCUAGUCUUUUGCUUAUACAACAAGAAGGCCUCAAGAGGAGAACCCUUUUUCUGGAUUGGUUCUAUUGAUCCUUUGUUACCUUGACAGUAACAGACUGCCUUUUAAAGUUCUUUUGAUAUUGGACACUGCCCCUGACCACCCAGAACUCUAUGAGUUCAACAGUGAAGUCAUAGAAGUGGUCUACUUGCCUCUAAACACAGCAUCUGUAAUUCAGCCUCUAGGUCAAGAAUCAUAAGGACCUUUAAGGCUCAUUAUGCACAGUACUCUAUGGAAAAAAAUUGUCAAUCUAUUAAUAUGUCACCAAACCCCAAAAGAGAAAAUAUCAUGAAAAUCUGGAAGGAUUACACCAUUGAAGAUGCUGCUGUUGUUACAGAAAAAUCCAUAAAAGCCAUCAAGACUGAAACAAUAAAUUUCUGCUGGGAAAAAAACAACACAAAACUGUGUCCAGAUGCUGUGUAUGAUCUCACAGGAUUUAUAACAGAACCAAUCAAGGAAAUAAUGAAAGAGACUGUGGAUAUGGCAAAAUUAAAAAGUAAGGGAUGAAGGCUUUCAAAAUAUACAUCUUAGAGAAAUUCAAAAGCUAAUAGACACCAAACCACAAUAGAGGAAUUCACAGAAGAUGAUUUGAUGGAGAUGAGUGUUUACAAUCCAGUGCCAGAUGGUGAAGAAAAAGACGAAGAAGAAACAGCGCCAGAAAAUAAACUGACAUUAGGCAAUCUGUCAAAAGAGUUAUGUUGAAGACCGCUUUUGACUUCUUUUAUGACAUGGACCUUUCUACGAUAUGGGCACUGAAACUAAAGCAAAUGGUGGAAGAAGGUUUGGUUCCAUGUAGAAAUAUUUUUAGAGAACUGAAAAAGCAAAAUGAUAGGAAUUAUGAUGUUUCUGUAAAGUUACACCAAGUGUGCCUGCCUCUCCUGCCUCCUCUCUCAACUGUUACACAUUUUCCAUCUCUGUCACCCCUGAGAUAUCAAGACUAACCCCUCCUCUUUCUCCUCCUUCUUAGCCUACUCAAUGGGGAAACCAUGAGGAUGAAGACUUUUAUAAUGAUUCAUUUCCACUUCAUAAACAAGAAUACAGAGGCCUGAGAAGAGGAUGGGAGAUGGGGGAACAGCCAGCCGGUGGAGCAGUCAGAACACAUAAAGCAAUUGUUGAUUAAGUGUGCCAUCUUACACAAGUAUGGUUCAUGAAGCCCUAAAAGAAUUUUAAAAGUCACGUCGAAGAUCACUGACCACAGAUUAUCAUAACAGAUAUCAUAAUAAUGAAAAGUUUGAAGCAUUAUAAGAAUUACCAACACAUGACACAUGGAAAAAAAGUGACCACAUACUGUUGGGAAAAUGGUGCCAAUAGACUUUCUUAAUUCAGGAUUACCACAAAUCUUCAAUUUCUAAAAAAUGCAGUAUUUGUGAAGUACAAUCAAAUGAACUACAAUAAAAUGAGGUAUGCCUGUAUCAAUAUUUUUCUAUUCUUUAUGAUCACACAUACUGAUAUCAG